GGAGGGUGCAAGCGUUAUCCGGAUUUAUGGGUUUAAAGGGUACGUAGGCGGCAGAGUCAGUCAGUGGUGAAAGCCAACAGCUUAACUGUUGAACUGCCAUUGAUACUGCUUUGCUUGAGUACAGUCGAGGUAGGUGGAAUUCCACAUGUAGUGGUGAAAUGCAUAGAUAUGUGGAGGAACGCCGAUAACGAAGGUAGCUUACUAGGCUGUUACUGACGCUGAGGUACGAAAGCGUGGGGAGCAAACGGGAUUAGAGACCCCGGUAGUCCACGCCGUAAACGAUGGUCACUCGAUGUGUACCUUUUGGGGUAUGCGUCCUAGCGAAAGCGUUAAGUGACCCACCUGGGGAGUACGCUCGCAAAGAGUG
rnacentral:rRNA from 1 species